rnacentral:rRNA from 1 species
AGUCACUGACAUUAGACUACCCGCGUAGUCCCAGCCGUAAACUAUGCGCGUUAGGUGUAUCGGUGACCACGAGUUACCGAGGUGCCGAAGGGAAACCGUGAAACGUGCCGCCUGGGAAGUACGGUCGCAAGGCUGAAACUUAAAGGAAUUGGCGGGGAGCACCACAACAGGUGGAGCCUGCGGUUUAAUUGGACUCAACGCCGGGAAGCUCACCGGAUAGGACAGCAGAAUGAUUGCCGGGCUGAAGACCCUGCAUGACUAGCUG